GCCUUCAUGGUGUAGUGGUCAACAUGCUUGACCUGUAUUUGAGAAGUCCAUGGUUUGAGUCCCAGUGAAGGCA
rnacentral:tRNA from 1 species